GAUGAACGCUGGCGGCGUGCCUAAUACAUGCAAGUCGAGCGAACAGACGAGGAGCUUGCUCCUCUGUCGUUAGCGGCGGGCGGGUGAGUCACACGUGGAUACCCUACCUAUCAGCCUGGGAUAACUUCGGGACACCGGCGCUAAUACCGGAUAAUAUAUUUAACCGCAUGGUUCAAUAGUGAAAUACGGUUUUGCUGUCACUUGUAGAUGGAUCCGCGCCGCAUUAGCUAGUUGGUAAGGUAACGGCUUACCAAGGCAACGUGGCGUAGCCGACCUGAGAGGGUGAGCCGCCACACGGGAACGGAGACACGGUCCAGACUCCUACGGGAGGCAGCAGUAGGGAAGCUGCCGGAAGGGGCGAAAGCCUGACGGAGCAACGCCGCGUGAGGGAUGAAGGUCUUCGGAUCGUAAAACUCUGUUAUUAGGGAAGAACAAAUGGGUAAGUAACUAUGCACGUCUUGACGGUACCUGAUCAGAAAGCCACGGCUAACUACGUG
rnacentral:rRNA from 1 species